AGAAGGGAAGCAAAAAUCAGCAAAUAAUAAAAAGAUAUGACAUGGUCCUUACUGAGCAGCUAGUUCAGCCAAAGCGAUCGGCUCUGGGGCAGAGGCGUUCUGCAGCAGAGCGGGGGAUUGAGACAGGCAGGACUGAGCUGCUCAGCAAGGUAGCGGAGCUUCGGGAGGAGGUGAGCAGGCUCAGGAGCAUUAGGGAGUCAGAGAGGGAAAUUGACUGGUGGAGGUGUACUCUACCCUCUCUGAGACAGACUCAGGAGCCUGCCACAGCACAGGUGUCUCCUGCUACGCAGAAGACAAAAGUUCCCUCAUCCCGCCAGGCAGUAGGAGGAGACCUAGGCCAAGGGGGGGAAUGGAGGCAGGUUCCUGUUCGGGGUGGUAGGCGAGCCCUGUCCCUGCCCACCUCACCUUCCCAUCUACCCUUAUAUAACAGGUAUGAGGGUGUAGAACACGACAGUCAGAACAACGAUGUAGAUGAAAGCCCGUCCCAGUUGGAGAGGGUGCCUAAGGCAAGGCAACUUAUCCCCCGCAUUGCUACAUCAACUGUCAAAAAAGAAAGGAGGGUUAUUGUCAUGGGGGACUCCCUUUUGAAAGGGACAGAGGGCCCAAUAUGCCGACCUGACCCUACCCACAGGGAAGUCUGUUGCCUCCCUGGGGCUCGGGUGAGAGACUUCACUAAGAAAGUCAAGUGCCUGGUACGGCCCACCGACUACUACCUGCUACUGGUCUUUCAGGCUGGUAAUGACGAGGUAGCAACGAGAAGUCUGAGAGUGAUCAAAAGGGACUUUAGGGCUUUGGGGCGACUACUUAAAGGUUCAGGGGCACAGGUUGUGUUUGCCUCUGUCCUUCCAGUAGGGGGGAUCGAUGCUGACAAACAGACUCAUCACAUUAACACGUGGCUUCGGGACUGGUGCAACUGGCAGAAUUUCGGGUUUUUCUAUCACGGGAAGGUCUACGUGAAACCGGGCCUGCUGGCACCAGAUGGGACACGCCUCUCUCGGAGUGGGGUGAGGAUUUUUGCCCAGGAGUUGGCAGGGCUGAUAGAUAGGGCUUUAAACUUGAGUCGAAGCGGGAAAGGGAUAAAACCAGGCCCAACAGUGAUAAGCUAAGGGAUGGUGCGCUAGAAUCAGAGGGACUGUGUGCUAGUGAGGCCCUUUGGACGGCUCCACAAGGUGCUGCGUGUAGGGAGGCGCAUUUGAAG
rnacentral:lncRNA from 1 species